rnacentral:rRNA from 1 species
UGGGAAUUUUGGACAAUGGGCGCAAGCCUGAUCCAGCCAUGCCGCGUGCGGGAAGAAGGCCUUCGGGUUGUAAACCGCUUUUGUCAGGGAAGAAAUCUUCUGAGUUAAUACCUCGGGAGGAUGACGGUACCUGAAGAAUAAGCACCGGCUAACUACGUGCCAGCAGCCGCGGUAAUACGUAGGGUGCAAGCGUUAAUCGGAAUUACUGGGCGUAAAGCGUGCGCAGGCGGUUUUGUAAGACAGAGGUGAAAUCCCCGGGCUCAACCUGGGAACUGCCUUUGUGACUGCAAGGCUUGAGUGCGGCAGAGGGGGAUGGAAUUCCGCGUNUAGCGUGAAAUGCGUAGAUAUGCGGAGGAACACCGAUGGCGAAGCAAUCCCGUGGGCUGCACUGACGCUCAUGCACGAAAGCGU